rnacentral:rRNA from 1 species
GGGGCUUCGGCCCUGAGUAGAGUGGCAAACGGGUGAGUAACACGUGGGUGACCUGCCUUCGAGUGGGGGAUAACGUUCCGAAAGGAGCGCUAAUACCGCAUGACAUCCUGCCUUUGGAAAGGCGGAGAUCAAAGCCGGGGAUCGCAAGACCUGGCGCUUGAAGAGGGGCCCGCGCCUGAUUAGCUAGUUGGUGGGGUAAUGGCCUACCAAGGCGACGAUCAGUAUCCGGCCUGAGAGGGCGGACGGACACACUGGGACUGAGACACGGCCCAGACUCCUACGGGAGGCAGCAGUGGGGAAUUGUUCGCAAUGGGCGCAAGCCUGACGACGCAACGCCGCGUGGAGGACGAAGAUCUUCGGGUCGUAAACUCCUGUCGAGCGGGAAGAAACCCGCGGGGAUGAAUAAUCCCUGCGGCUGACGGUACCGCUAAAGGAAGCCCCGGCUAACUCCGUGCCAGCAGCCGCGGUAAUACGGGGGGGGCAAGCGUUGUUCGGAAUUACUGGGCGUAAAGGGCUCGUAGGCGGCCAACUAAGUCGGAUGUGAAAUCCCCAGGCUCAACCUGGGAACUGCAUCCGAUACUGGAUGGCUUGAAUCCGGGAGAGGGAUGCAGAAUUCCAGGUGUAGCGGUGAAAUGCGUAGAUAUCUGGAGGAAUACCGGUGGCGAAGGCGGCAUCCUGGACCGGCAUUGACGCUGAGGAGCGAAAGCCAGGGGAGCAAACGGGAUUAGAUACCCCGGUAGUCCUGGCCCUAAACGAUGAAUGCUUGGUGUGACGGGUAUCGAU